AACGCUUUGUGGUUCAACUGAUUUGAAGAGCUUGCUCAGAUAUGACGAUGGACAUUGCAAAGAGUGGCGAACGGGUGAGUAACACGUGGGAAACCUACCUCUUAGCAGGGGAUAACAUUUGGAAACAGAUGCUAAUACCGUAUAACAAUAGCAACCGCAUGGUUGCUACUUAAAAGAUGGUUCUGCUAUCACUAAGAGAUGGUCCCGCGGUGCAUUAGUUAGUUGGUGAGGUAAUGGCUCACCAAGACGAUGAUGCAUAGCCGAGUUGAGAGACUGAUCGGCCACAAUGGGACUGAGACACGGCCCAUACUCCUACGGGAGGCAGCAGUAGGGAAUCUUCCACAAUGGGCGAAAGCCUGAUGGAGCAACGCCGCGUGUGUGAUGAAGGGUUUCGGCUCGUAAAACACUGUUGUAAGAGAAGAAUGACAUUGAGAGUAACUGUUCAAUGUGUGACGGUAUCUUACCAGAAAGGAACGGCUAAAUACGUGCCAGCAGCCGCGGUAAUACGUAUGUUCCAAGCGUUAUCCGGAUUUAUUGGGCGUAAAGCGAGCGCAGACGGUUAUUUAAGUCUGAAGUGAAAGCCCUCAGCUCAACUGAGGAAUUGCUUUGGAAACUGGAUGACUUGAGUGCAGUAGAGGAAAGUGGAACUCCAUGUGUAGCGGUGAAAUGCGUAGAUAUAUGGAAGAACACCAGUGGCGAAGGCGGCUUUCUGGACUGUAACUGACGUUGAGGCUCGAAAGUGUGGGUAGCAAACAGGAUUAGAUACCCUGGUAGUCCACACCGUAAACGAUGAGUGCUAGGUGUUUGAGGGUUUCCGCCCUUAAGUGCCGCAGCUAACGCAUUAAGCACUCCGCCUGGGGAGUACGACCGCAAGGUUGAAACUCAAAGGAAUUGACGGGGACCCGCACAAGCGGUGGAGCAUGUGGUUUAAUUCGAAGCAACGCGAAGAACCUUACCAGGUCUUGACAUCCCUUGACAACUCCCGAAAAUGGAGCGUUCCCUUCGGGGACAAGGUGACAGGUGGUGCAUGGGUGUCGUCAGCUCCUGUCCUGAGAAGUUUGGGUUAAAUCCCCCCACCAAGCGCAACCCUUAUAACUAGUUGCCCGCAUUUAAUUGGGGACCCUAUUGGAGAAUGCCGGUGAAAACCCGAAGAAAGAGGGGGGGGU
rnacentral:rRNA from 1 species